GCAAAUUGACAAUAUGCUGCAAGUUGCUUCUGGUGUGAGAAUCGGCAGUCUACAAAGACGUUGCCCAGAGGAUGCCCAGAUGUGUUACCAUCCUGCAGAGAGGCUUCUCUCAUGUCCCUACAUGGGAAGUUAGGGCUGACAGACGGGAGCUCACCCCAUCUCGCGGAUUCGAACCACCAACCUUCGAGUCUUCAAGGCAGCAGUUCAGCCAGCACAAGGGUUUAACCCAUUGCGCCAACACGGUUGUACACUUUAUUGAAAAGCUAUAUGUGGAGUGCUAAGAAGCCCCUUAUUUAUUAAUAGACUAUAGUCAGUAAGUGUAACCCAAACCACCUGUUUCUCUUUAACAUCUUCUCUUAAAACUCAUUUGUGUCAAAACAGCCAGAUUAUUCUGAGACACUUGAAUGUCCUGACACGUUUUGGAUGUUACCCAUUCUGUUGUCAGAUUUGUGUCCAUGGUGUACAGGGAAUUUGCAGACUCAGGGCUGUGGCUUCCUUGGUUGAGUCUCUCCAUCUGGAAUGCAAUCUUCCUCUUUUCCAAUGGCCUUCUACUUUACUAAGCAUUACUCUCUUUUCUUGCAGACCGAAAGGUCCCAGGUUCAAACCCUGGGAGCGGCGGAGCAGCGGGAGCAGCCGCUGUUAGCUCCAGCUUCUGCCAGCCUAGCAGUUCGAAAACAUGCCAAUGUGAGUAGAUCAAUAGGUACUGCUCCGGCGGGAAGGUAAGGGCGCUCCAUGCAGUCAUACUGGCCACAUGACCUUGGAGGUGUCUACAGACAACGCUGGUUCUUCGGCUUAGAAAUGGAGAUGAGCACCAACCCCCAGAGUCAGACAUGACUGGACUUAACGUCAGGGGAAACCUUUACCUUUACAUUUACAAUAGUCUCAGUUUAGUCAUCUUGUCUUCUAGAGAUAAUUUUAACUCACUCUAUGACACAUUUAUUUAUCUUUUUAGCUGCCAAUGAUGUCUGUAGAACUCUUCUCCAGAACCAUAUCUCAAAUGAAUUGAUCUACUGCACAAGCACUGGCAGAGAACAUCAGGGAGUGUUUGUGCAAACAUCAGAUACACCUGUCUUAUUUGGACCACCUCUUCCUUUCCCCUCAUUUGUCCCUCUAUUUCAAAUCUUCCUGUUUGACUCCCCCUUCUCUUUCAGCUUAAUGGCAUAUGCAAAUGCCGUUGCUGCAACAACUAGAUCAGGUAGUCACUGAAUCAGCCCAGCAGCUAUGUGGCCAUGCUACUGCUAUGUCCAUUUGCAAGGUAAAAAAUCGGGGGGGGGGGGGGGAAGUUUCAUAGUGUACCUCAGUGUACCAAUAGUUCCAGACUGCCAAAAAAAUAUAUCAUAGUUCCAGGUAUAAUCUCAACUCCUAUCUUCAGUUUUCAACUUUGUCUGCUUUCCAUAAACUGGCAAAACUAAGAGGCUCUACUUUAUGUAAUAGUACAGUUGCUUGUACAUCUACUUGUAACAAAACGUAAAAUCAAAUAAAAGUAAAUUGAAUAGAUUCACUAUGAUUGCCUGAAUAAAACUGAUUUUAAAUCGAAUAAACCCAAACAUGCUGAUGUUAUUAUUAAUUAAGGUACUAAAAGAAAUAAUGUACAUUUAGUAUUUCAGAAUUUCUCCCUUAAAAUCCUCCUCUUCAUUAACAGAAAUAAACAGCACCUCUUCGCCAUGGGUUCAAACCUUUUGCAUCACAACUUCCCAGACUCUAUGUUUGUUAUCAUUUUGCAAAGAAAGAACUAGGAACUUUUUUUUCAUGACGGCUAGCAUCCUUGGACUCCAUUAGAAAAAUAAUAGAGGUCCUCCCAAUAUUUUUUUUAGAUCACAACCCAGUAUCUUUGACAUUGCUCAAUAAAGCGUUUUAAUUGGACAUUGUUGCAAGAUAGUCAUUGCCUUUUUGAAGCAAUGUUAGAAGUUAUUAGUAUCAAGUUUUAAC
rnacentral:lncRNA from 11 species